ensembl:lncRNA
CUAACUUCUUAGAGGUUUAUAUUUUAAAUGUGUUUUAAACGUACCUACGUCAUAAAGAAUUAACGCUACCUAACAAAAGGCCUGGUCCUUGCUGCCAGCUCCUGGAAGGUAAGUAUAGGGCCUGACUACAGAAAUGGGUCUUUCUGUUUAUAUGAGGACCUUUCACCAUGUCACACAGUCUAUGCUAACAACAUCAUGUAUGCAGUGAGAGAGGGGGUCUUUUGGUCACAUGGUAUCAGCUUGACCUCUGGAGGGGCAGGGAACUAACCUGAGUCGCUGGUGUGGUCUGCCGUGUCUAUAUCACUGACUUCGCAUAAAAACCCUGGACACCGAGGCUUGAUGAGCUUCUGUGGUUGGCAAUAUUCCAAGCACGUUGUCACACAUCACUGCUGGGAGGAGUAAGCACUGUCCACACUGGCAGCCCAUUCCAAUGUUCUUGCCUGAAGAAUCCCGUGGACCGAGCAGCCUGGUAGGCUACAGUUCACUGGGUCGCAAACAGUCAGAGACGACUGAGAGACGGAGCACACGGCAUAGCGUUCAGCUCCGCUGGAAGGAGCCCGCUGCCCUGCCUCUCCUGUACCCUGCUCUAUGCACCGUUGCCUGCCAGUGAUUUCAAUCUGUGUCUGCUCGUUGGAAUAAACCAUAACUCAAUCCUUGGCAUUCCUUGGUUUGUAGGAGCAUCAUUAACGUCUAUCGUAAGAUUACAUUCUGAAAUACUACGGGUUAGGACUUUACAGAUCUGUUUGAGGGAUACAGUUAACCUCAUGACAAGAGGUAAUUACCAAGCUCUGCUAUGUUACUUGGGCUUCCCUGCUGACUCAGUGGUAAAGAAUCUGCCUGCAAUGCAGGAGGCCCAGGUUGGAUCCCUGGAUCAGGAAGACCCCUGGAGAAUGGAACAGCAACCCAAUCCAGUAUUUCUUGCCUGAAGAAUCCCCAAGGACAGAAUAGCCAGGUGGGCAAUAGUCCAUGGGGUUGCAGAGUCGGACACGACUGAGCGACUUCACUUUCACUUUCCUUAGAAUUUAAGAGCCAAGAG